AUUGAACGCUAGCGGGAUGCUUUACACAUGCAAGUCGAACGGCAGCGCGGACUUCGGUCUGGCGGCGAGUGGCGAACGGGUGAGUAAUGUAUCGGAACGUGCCCAGUAGCGGGGGAUAACUACGCGAAAGCGUAGCUAAUACCGCAUACGCCCUACGGGGGAAAGCCGGGGAUCGUAAGACCUUGCACUAUUGGAGCGGCCGAUAUCGGAUUAGCUAGUUGGUGAGGUAACGGCUCACCAAGGCGACGAUCCGUAGCUGGUUUGAGAGGACGACCAGCCACACUGGGACUGAGACACGGCCCAGACUCCUACGGGAGGCAGCAGUGGGGAAUUUUGGACAAUGGGGGCAACCCUGAUCCAGCCAUCCCGCGUGUGCGAUGAAGGCCUUCGAGUUGUAAAGCACUGUUGGCAGGAAAGAAACGUCGCGGGCUAAUACCCCGUGGAACUGACGGUACCUGCAGAAUAAGCACCGGCUAACUACGUG
rnacentral:rRNA from 1 species